rnacentral:tRNA from 1 species
GCUGGGAUAGCUGAGUUGGUUCAAGCGCGGGACUGAAAAUCCCGAGUAGGCCGGUUCGAGACCGGUUCCCAGCA